CUCAGAGCUGGAGAGAAGGCAAGAUGUUGGCAUAGCUGUUGAGUUAAGAACCUGCUAUGCCGACAUGUUGUCAUCUUUCUUGUCUAUCAGCAGCCAUGGCCAGCUUUAAUUCUCCCUAUCUCUUCUGUUUACUGAG